rnacentral:tRNA from 1 species
GGAGGCGUGGCCGAGCCUGGCUGAAGGCGCGAGUCUUGAAAACUCGUGAGCGCCCCUGGCGCUCCGUGGGUUCGAAUCCCACCGCCUCCG